GCAGAUAUUAUAUACGGAUCAAGGAAAUAAUUAUUUUUAAAAAAUAUAUUUCUGAUUAAGUGAAAGUUGGGUGUCAUUUCUCAACCUCGAGCUUUCCUCUCUUUCUCGAACCCUAGAGAUUUCUUCUCUGUCGAACCAUCAUGCUUUCCUUUCUCUUUCAAACCAUCUUAGAUCUCAGUUUGGUGUCGCUCUUUCGAGCCAUCUUCGGUGUGGGUGUUGGUCUGGGUUCUUCCUCGUCUCUCUCUCUCUAUUAUUGUGACCUUCAUCAAACACUGUGGUUGGGGCUCAUUGUUGGGUGCGGUGCCGUAGUUGGGCGUUGAGUAGCUUAAUCGGGCUUAAUCUCGAACCAUCAUCUUCGUCGCUGGAACCGUAGGAGUCCCUGCCUUCAAUCGUGGUGUUCCAGUCGUGGUGCCAUUGUGGGGUAAUCGUGUUCUCCGUCAACGCUGCCG
rnacentral:sRNA from 1 species